rnacentral:rRNA from 1 species
CUGGAACCGGAGCUAAUACCGGAUAAUAUAUUGAACCGCAUGGUUCAAUAGUGAAAGACGGUUUUGCUGUCACUUAUAGAUGGAUCCGCGCCGCAUUAGCUAGUUGGUAAGGUAACGGCUUACCAAGGCAACGAUGCGUAGCCGACCUGAGAGGGUGAUCGGCCACACUGGAACUGAGACACGGUCCAGACUCCUACGGGAGGGCAGCAGCU